rnacentral:rRNA from 1 species
AGAGUUUGAUCCUGGCUCAGAAUCAACGCUGGCGGCGUGCCUAAUACAUGCAAGUCGAGCGGAGUUGAUGAAGUGCUUGCACUUCUGAGACUUAGCGGCGGACGGGUGAGUAACACGUAGGUAACCUGCCCAUAAGACUGGGAUAACCCACGGAAACGUGAGCUAAUACCAGAUAGGCGUUUUCCUCGCAUGGGGAGAAC